rnacentral:rRNA from 1 species
AGUGAACGCUGGCGGUAGGCCUAACACAUGCAAGUCGAACGGCAGCACAGUAAGAGCUUGCUCUUACGGGUGGCGAGUGGCGGACGGGUGAGGAAUACAUCGGAAUCUACUUUUUCGUGGGGGAUAACGUAGGGAAACUUACGCUAAUACCGCAUACGACCUACGGGUGAAAGCAGGGGAUCUUCGGACCUUGCGCGACUGAAUGAGCCGAUGUCGGAUUAGCUAGUUGGCGGGGUAAAGGCCCACCAAGGCGACGAUCCGUAGCUGGUCUGAGAGGAUGAUCAGCCACACUGGAACUGAGACACGGUCCAGACUCCUACGGGAGGCAGCAGUGGGGAAUAUUGGACAAUGGGCGCAAGCCUGAUCCAGCCAUACCGCGUGGGUGAAGAAGGCCUUCGGGUUGUAAAGCCCUUUUGUUGGGGAAGAAAAGCAGCAGGUUAAUACCCCGCUGUUCUGACGGUACCCAAAGAAUAAGCACCGGCUAACUUCGUG